CUACGGGACGCAGCAGUGAGGAAUAUUGGUCAAUGGAUGCAAGUCUGAACCAGCCAUGCCUCGUUCCUGAUUACGGCUCUAUGAGUUGUAAACUGCUUUUGUACGAGGGUAAACCCCGAUACGUGUAUCGGGUUGAAAGUAUCGUACGAAUAAGGAUCGGCUAACUCCGUGCCAGCAGCCGCGGUAAUACGGAGGAUCCGAGCGUUAUCCGGAUUUAUUGGGUUUAAAGGGUGCGUAGGCGGGCUUUUAAGUCAGCGGUAAAAAUUCGGGGCUCAACCCCGUCCGGCCGUUGAAACUGGGGGCCU
rnacentral:rRNA from 1 species